rnacentral:rRNA from 1 species
UACAGAGGGGGCAAGCGUUAUUCGGAAUUAUUGGGCGUAAAGGGCUCGUAGGCGGUCUGUCGCGUCGGGAGUGAAAACUCAGGGCUUAACCCUGAGCCUGCUUCCGAUACGGGCAGACUAGAGGUAUGCAGGGGAGAACGGAAUUCCUGGUGUAGCGGUGGAAUGCGCAGAUAUCAGGAGGAACACCGGUGGCGAAGGCGGUUCUCUGGGCAUUACCUGACGCUGAGGAGCGAAAGUGUGGGGAGCGAACAGG